ACGGCGAGUGAAGCGGGAAGAGCUCAAAUUUGAAAUCUUCAAGGUUCUACCUUGACGAAUUGUAGUUUAAAGAAGUGUUUUCUGUUAGAGGAGUAGCGAAAGUUCCUUGGAAUGGGACAUCAUAGAGGGUGAGAAUCCCGUAUUUGGUUAUUCUUUCUAGCUUUGUGAUACACUUUCAAAGAGUCGGAUUGUUUGGGAAUGCAGUCCAAAAUGGGUGGUAAAUUUCAUCUAAAGCUAAAUAUUGGCGAGAGACCGAUAGCGAACAAGUACCGUGAGGGAAAGAUGAAAAGAACUUUGAAAAGAGAGUUAAACAGUACGUGAAAUUGUCAAAAGGGAAGCGUUUGACACCAGUGUUGUUUUUCCGAAAAUCAAUUAAGAAUGGCUUGAUUUUGUGUUGUAUUGACCUUAUCAGCUUUCUUCACUCUUUUUCGAGUCUUUCUUAAUGCACUUUUCGGUUAACAAGUCAACAUCAAUUUCUUUUGUUGUAAAAGGGUAUUUGGAAGGUGGCUUUCUUUUCGGAGAAAGUGUUUAUAGCCUUAUACCUCUACAAUCGGAGAGAUUGAGGUCUGCAGCGUAGAUCCUUCGGGGCUAGAUACACUUGUGCUAAGUUAUAGCUUUUCAUAGACAACUUGUUGACUAUGUUUAGUCAUGUAGCUUACCCGCUUGUGCUAUUUUACCUACGCUUAGGAUGUUGACAAAAUGGUUUUAAACGACCCGUCUUGAAACACGGACC
rnacentral:rRNA from 1 species